rnacentral:rRNA from 1 species
CAGUCGAACGGAGACCCGGAGCUUGCUCCGGAAUUCUUAGUGGCGAACGGGUGAGUAACGCGUGGGAAUCUACCUUGAAAUGGGGAACAACUAUUGGAAACGAUAGCUAAUACCGCAUAAUCCCUUCGGGGGAAAGGCUUCGGCCGUUUUUAGAUGAGCCCGCGUUAGAUUAGGCUGUUGGUGAGGUAAUGGCUCACCAAACCUACAAUCUAUAGCUGGUCUGAGAGGAUGAUCAGCCACACUGGGACUGAGACACGGCCCAGACUCCUACGGGAGGCAGCAGUGGGGAAUAUUGGACAAUGGGGGAAACCCUGAUCCAGCAAUGCCGCGUGAGUGAUGAAGGCCUUAGGGUUGUAAAGCUCUUUCAGAAGUGAAGAUGAUGACGGUAACUUCAGAAGAAGCUCCGGCUAACUCCGUGCCAGCAGCCGCGGUAAUACGGAGGGAGCUAGCGUUGUUCGGAAUUACUGGGCGUAAAGAGCGUGUAGGCUGUUAGGUAAGUCAGAGGUGAAAUCCCUAAGCUCAACUUAGGAACUGCCUUUGAUACUAUCUUACUAGAGAUCGAGAGAAGUUGGCGGAAUUCCAAGUGUAGAGGUGAAAUUCGUAGAUAUUUGGAAGAACACCAGUGGCGAAAGCGGCCAACUGGCUCGUUUCUGACGCUAAGACGCGAAAGCGUGGGUAGCAAACAGGAUUAGAUACCCUGGUAGUCCACGCCGUAAACGAUGAGUGCUAGCCGUUUGUGAUUUAUCACAAGUGGUGCAGCUAACGCGUUAAG